rnacentral:rRNA from 1 species
GAUGAACGCUGGCGGCAGGCUUAAUACAUGCAAGUCGUGGGGCAGCAUGACUGUAGCAAUACAGUUGAUGGCGACCGGCAAACGGGUGCGGAACACGUACACAACCUUCCUUUAAGUGGGGAAUAGCCCAGAGAAAUUUGGAUUAAUACCCCGUAACGUAAUGAAAAGGCAUCUUUUUGUUAUUAUAGCAGCAAUGCGCUUGAAGAUGGGUGUGCGGCUGAUUAGAUAGUUGGCGGGGUAACGGCCCACCAAGUCUGCGAUCAGUAACUGGUGUGAGAGCACGACCAGUCACACGGGCACUGAGACACGGGCCCGACUCCUACGGGAGGCAGCAGUAAGGAAUAUUGGUCAAUGGACGCAAGUCAGAACCAGCCAUGCCGCGUGGAGGAUGAAGGUCCUCUGGAUUGUAAACUUCUUUUAUUUGGGAAGAAAUCUACCUUUUCUUGGGUAGUUGACGGUACCAGAUGAAUAAGCACCGGCUAACUCCGUGCCAGCCGCCGCCGUAAUAC